GAUGAACGCUGGCGGCGUGCCUAAUACAUGCAAGUCGAGCGAACAGACGAGGAGCUUGCUCCUCUGACGUUAGCGGCGGACGGGUGAGUAACACGUGGAUAACCUACCUAUAAGACUGGGAUAACUUCGGGAAACCGGAGCUAAUACCGGAUAAUAUAUUGAACCGCAUGGUUCAAUAGUGAAAGACGGUUUUGCUGUCACUUAUAGAUGGAUCCGCGCCGCAUUAGCUAGUUGGUAAGGUAACGGCUUACCAAGGCAACGAUGCGUAGCCGACCUGAGAGGGUGAUCGGCCACACUGGAACGGAGACACGGUCCAGACUCCUACGGGAGGCAGCAGUAGGGAAUCUUCCGCAAUGGGCGAAAGCCUGACGGCGCAACGCCGCGUGAGUGAUGAAGGUCUUCGGAUCGUAAAACUCUGUUAUUAGGGAAGAACAAAUUGGUAAGUAACUAUGCACGUCUUGACGGUGACUAAUCAGAAAGCCACGGCUAACUACGUG
rnacentral:rRNA from 1 species